rnacentral:sRNA from 1 species
ACAACAACAAAAGAUAAUUGUUUCCAGUCCAGAUUAUACUGCUGUACGAGUCCUGAAUGCUCUGGCUACCCACCUGGGACACCAGCUUGGACAGGAGCCUCCAAAUUCCUAAAAGGUAAAUGAACCACAUCCAGCCAUGGGACUGAUGCAACAGUUACCUGUGAUCAACCACAGUCUGAAAAUAUUAAGUAGAAGCUUCUGGAAACCAUCCGUGUUUUGAAUUGCACACCAUUUUGAGUGGCGAAAAGACAUCUCACUUGCGUUGUUCUACUUGAGAGUGUACAGAAAGGUCCGCCCUGGGAUUGUUACGUCACACAGAGGAGCCUGUCUCACCUCCACUUAGGCUCCCAGACCAGGAGUCCUGGGAGAACAACCAGUGUUCCCUGGAAAAAUGACACCGAGAUAUCGAAAACAACAAUUAGAAAACUCUAGAAGAGAGCCCUUGCAUCUCAAGCAGGUUUAGGAAGUCACCCCAUGGGGACGAAGGCACAGGUGCCCAGGAGCAACCUUGGAGGGUGAGUGCAGCUUAAGCUUACAUUCCGGUCACUUCUCCUGCCUCCCCCAACCUCAUUUUGGCUCUGACCAUCGAGGGGAUGGGUCAGGAAUGAUGUGACAGAGGAGAGUAUUUCUGACAAUAAAUUGAUGGAAGUCAGGUUGUAGACCAGCAAUUCUCAACCUUCCUAAUGCUGCCACCCUUUAAUACAGUUUCUCAUGUUGUGCUGACUCCCCGACCAUAAAGUUAUUUUGGGGCUACUUUAUGAUUAUCAUUUGCUACUGUUAUGAACUGUAAUGUAAAUAUCUGUGUUUUCUGCUAAAUCCCUAGGGACCCUGGCACAUAGUGGCUGGUGACUAGGGAUGAAAGUAUUUCUGCUGGUCUGCUGGGCCACAGAGGCACGCAACAGGCCUGGCAGGGUUAAAUGGGGAGGUGCAUGACAUGAGGAAGCUGGUGAGGAGGAAAACUGGAAAAUAGAAUUCCUGAACCGAACUCCCACCCCAUCCUCUCCUGGAAGCUGAGCCAUGCCUGUCACAGAAAGCUCUGGAGCCAGCCUGACUCCCUGUUAAGCCAGAUGAGCUAUACACAGAGGACCUCUUGUGUCAGGUGAAGAAGGGGAUGAGCUGGACAGACCAUAGCUCUGCUUUCUUCUUCUUCCCAGUCAGUCUCCUCGAAUUGCAUCAAAGUACAACUCCUUCCAUAAAGGCUGAAGCUUUUGCUGAAUGUUUAAAAAAUAAUACAUUUAAAGGAAUGCAUUGGAGCAAGAGAAAUAUCAUAUUCUCCUAAUAAAACUUAUGAAGAACAUGGCUUUGAAAAGAGAGACAUUAGAACAGUUUUCUCACCCAAGAAUGUGGGUUCUAUAUUUGUGAGUGGGAUUCAGGGUGUCUAUAAGAGACCCCUGAACCUACAUGAAAAGUUGUAUAGGCUUGUCUACGUUUAUGGAAUGGACAAGUUACUGGAAUAGGAAUUGGUGUCCUGAAAGUUAUUCGAGCUUCUCAUUUCUAUAAAGUAAAAGGGGGGAUGAUGGAGGGACUUUGAGUUCCUUGUCUGCAGGGUUCUCUCUUGAUUCAAUGUAUUUCCAGUUCAUAUUUUGCACAAAGGACAACGGAUGCAUGAAAAUGUAUUGAUGAAACUCGUUAUUUUGUACACUAACGGGAAAUAAAUACACUCCAUGUCUUAGAGUUUCCAUUGCUAUG